rnacentral:rRNA from 1 species
ACAAAUAGUUCAAUUGAAUUUUUUUGGUUUUGAUUAAAUUAUUAAAAAAAUUUAAAGUAAUAUUUUUUAGGUGAAAUUUGAAAUAUUAAAAAAUAAAAUUUUUAAAAAUUGAGGUCUAUAAAUUAAUAAAAAAACUAGGAUUAGAUACCCUAUUAUUACAACUUAAAAAAAAAUUCCUUAUGAAUAAUAGUUAUGUUCUUUAAAGUAAAAAGAUUUGGCGGUAUUUUAUUCUUGUUAGAGGAACCUGUUCUGUAAUUGAUAAUCCACGAUGAUAUUUACUUAUUCUAAAAUUUUGCAUAUCGUUGUUUAAAAUAUUUUUUUAGGAUAUAUUUUUUUAUUAAAUUAUAAUAAAAUUCAGAUCAAGGUGUAGAUUAUGAAUAAGAAGAAAUGGGUUACAAUAAUAAAAAUUUUGGUUUAAUUUUUUUAAAAGAUUAAUAAAUUGGAUUUAAAAGUAAAUUUAAAUAUUUUUUUAAGUUAAUUUUUGUUCUAAAAU